rnacentral:rRNA from 1 species
UACGUAGGGGGCAAGCGUUGUCCGGAUUCAUUGGGCGUAAAGAGCGUGUAGGCGGCCAGGUAGGUCGGUUGUGAAAACUGGAGGCUCAACCUUCAGAGGUCGACCGAAACCAUCUGGCUAGAGUCCGGGAGAGGGGAGUGGAAUUCCUGGUGUAGCGGUGAAAUGCGCAGAUAUCAGGAAGAACACCCGUGGCGAAAGCGGCUCUCUGGAACGGUACUGACGCUGAGACGCGAAAGCGUGGGGAGCGAACAGG